rnacentral:rRNA from 1 species
GCCUACGGGACGCAGCAGUGGGGAAUAUUGCACAAUGGGGGGAACCCUGAUGCAGCGACGCCGCGUGAGUGAAGAAGUAUUUCGGUCUGUAAAGCUCUAUCAGCAGGGAAGAAGAUGACGGUACCUGACUAAGAAGCCCCGGCUAACUACGUGCCAGCAGCCGCGGUAAUACGUAGGGGGCAAGCGUUAUCCGGAUUUACUGGGUGUAAAGGGAGCGUAGACGGCAGGGCAAGUCUGGAGUGAAAGCCCGGGGCCCAACCCCG